GCAAGUGCACGACGUCGUCACUCACUGUAAACAAUGAUGAGCCAUUUGACAUGUCACAAAAAAGGAUAUAUCCCUCUGGGGCCGAAAAGAGAACAAAGAAAAGGACCGAGGAUGAGGAAAAAAAGAGCAAGAUAAAGGAACACUGUUGAAGUACUUUGGAGCACAACCAACUCUACCCGCCCCUGAUGUUUCAUCAAGUGUCAGUGCCUCCACAGCUGAUGAUGCAGCAGAUGAGGUUUUUCUUGCUGGCCAAUGUUAACAUUCCAUAGCCUGUUAAUAUGACAUGACACAUUGAAGAAUAAAGUAUUUUAUUUAAGUAUA